rnacentral:rRNA from 1 species
UACGUAGGGGGCUAGCGUUGUCCGGAAUCAUUGGGCGUAAAGAGCGUGUAGGCGGCCCGGUAAGUCCGCUGUGAAAGUCGGGGGCUCAACCCUCGAAUGCCGGUGGAUACUGUCGGGCUAGAGUGCGGAAGAGGCGAGUGGAAUUCCUGGUGUAGCGGUGAAAUGCGCAGAUAUCAGGAGGAACACCGAUUGCGAAGGCAGCUCGCUGGGACGACACUGACGCUGAGACGCGAAAGCGUGGGGAGCAAACAGG